ensembl:lncRNA
AGCAAAUCAACAGAUGCAUCAGGCAGAUGAUGCCUUCCUAGCAUUUAGCAAAAUACCAAGCAGCACUUCGAUGCCCAAGAGAUUCCUUGUUUUUGCGGUCGGUCUGCAGAGAUGUGGCUGCUAGAACCAUGGGAAGAAGGGGAGCUUUGUGUUUGUCUCCACCAAGGGCCCCUGGGAGCACCCAGUUCACCCCCACUUCAGCCCACGUACAGCCGAACCAUCAUGGUCUCAUCCUAGAGACUCACUGCUGCUGCUAAGUUGCUUCAGUCGUGUCCAACUCUGUACGACCCUAUGGACAGCAGCCCACCAGUCUCAUCUGUCCACGGAAUUCUUCAGGCAAGAAUACUGGAGUGGGUUGCCAUUUCCUUCUCCAAGAGACCUGCUAGUGUCUUCAUAUGGACAACUGGGAUAGGAACCAGCAGUCUCCCAACCUCCAAUCUAGUUCAACAUUGAAAUAUGUAUAUAUUCAGUCCUACUUUAGUGAUACAUUAGGUACAAAAAUAUAAAUUAAAGAUGCAUGAGAUAAAAACCGAGUAUAAAUGCACUGGGUUGGAUAACGUCCCUCCAUUAAAAUUCAUGUCCUUCCCUUCAUGAACCUCAGAAUGUGACCUUGUUUGAAAAUAGGAUCUUUGCAGAUGUAGUAGGUUAAGAAAAAGUCACCAUGGAGUCAGGUGGGACCUUAAUUCAAUAGGACAGGCGUCCACAAUAGAAGAGAAGAAAACACACAUGUGCACACACACACACACAUGCACAUAUGCAUACAUGCACACACACAUACACAUAUACACAUGUAACACACACACACACACACAGGGCCAUGUGACCAUGGACACAGAGACUGGAGCAACGCAUCUAUAAACCAAAGAUUACGGGCAAGACCAGGCAGCACCCACCCGUAGUACCAUCAGAGAGAGAACGGAGUCCUUGGUUUCCAACUUCCAGCCUCACUGACAGCGUCCUGUCCCUUGGCAGCUGUGUCCCUCAGUCAUGAGCGUGGUCAGUGUUGACACCAUUCUCGAAGUUUCCCAGCCCAGAAAUCUAGGGGUCCUGCUGAUGUCUUCACCCCCUGACCCCACCCCCAGCCUCAGCAAGUCCUGUUGCUCGUGCUUCUCUAACUUGUUCCACCCAGACCACGCGCCUCAGGCUGCACUGAGAGUCACCUCCCUGGAGGAGAGUAGGGCUCCCUGGAGCCCUCUCUCUGGCCUCCAGUCUUGUCUUCCUGCAGUGCAUUUCACAGGGGCUGUAAGCAUUUCACAGUACUGGCUAUCACCACUCUCCAGAACACACAAGAUGAAGUACAGCUUAACUCAGCAACAGACUCUGAAGACACUGUGGACUGGCCACACUAACACUCUUCCCAGCUCCCCACUGCGUUUUGUUUGUUUUUCUGUGUCCUUCUCUAGAGCCUGGGAAGUUAAAGCAAAUUUUUCUAGACAUCUUCCUAUCAGAGGUGGCCAUGUGACACUCCUGUGGCCAAUAAGAUCAAACAGGAUAAUUAGACAUCGAUUCUGCCAAGACAGGCUCACUGUCUACAAAUGUUAUUGGAUGAAGACAUCAACCACUACACAGCAAGUUGGAGAGAUCCCCAUAUCAAAGAAGCAGGGAUGUCAGAGACAGGGGCUCUGCACUCAGAACAAGGGCUCCUGCCACCGAGGGUCGGGUCACUUGACCUGGAGGCAGUUGGCUUAAGCCGUGAAGGCCGUGUGAGAUGGCCACUUUGAGAGGAGAUGGGUGGCUGGGAGGCCUGACAGAUGGAGAACCUGGGCAGAUACAAAGGACCACUGUCUGGGCCAUAGUUGUCUCUCAAAAUGAACCAUUGGAUGACUGCUUCCGGCGCAGAGAAUGAACAGAAAAUGGGAGUAACAUCCGGACCAGAGGCAGGGAGCCUCACAUAAGGGCCUCAAGGCUUCCGCCUUUACACUGCUGGGCAAAAGGGGCUCCGGGGGGUUUGGGGCAGUGACGAGGGACUCCAAGACUUUGGCCAAACCUGUGCCGACGGAAGGCCCUGUCCCACGGCUGGAUUAUGCGGUGGACCCCUCCUUGCAGCGGGCCCCAAACUGCUGUCCUGCAUCUUAGUUCCCUGUGACAAGCACCCAGAAAGGGCUAGAGUGGGAACAAGCCCCCGUGGGCCUCUGGGGGUCUCCAGCUCCCCAGUAUUGGCCCCUGGUCACGGGGCCCCACCCACCCACAGCUUUGUUUCCGGGAUUGGCCUCCAAGAUGUACAGCAUCUGAGGACACUCUUCCUGUGAAAGAAGGUGCCUCCGGGCACAGCCGCCAGGCACCUGGCACCAGCCUGUCUGGGUGGCAGUGUGGAGGCUGCGUUCCCUCCUGCCGGCAAGCUCAGCAAUGCAUUCUCAGAGAAGCAGACUCAGGUCAACAAGCGGAGCACACGAAUGUGCCCAGGACCAGCUUGCGCUGCCCUUCAAAGUGGACCCCUCUGUCUCAGGGGCUGAAUGCUCACAAUGUUUGGCCCAAGAGCACAGCCCAGACAGGCAGCUGGUGGGGACCCUCCCCCAGCCUGAGCGCUGAGUCCUACCCACGAGACUCGGUGGAGCAGGUGCUCCAGCUGGACUCGUCUCCCAUGAGAGAAGCCAUCUCGUUUCUUAGAUUGCUGGUCUCCCCGAGCUGGAAGGUAGCCCAGAGAUCCCCCAGUCUGGCUCUUUUUCUCCAACAAGAAAACAUCUAAGCCCCCAGCUGGUGCCGAAUGUCAGCCCAGAGCCCAGUGGGAAGCCACAUGAAGGAGUCUGGGGAGGUGAGAAGACAGUGUCUUGCUCCCCACCCUGGUACCCCACCCAAGGCUGAGCCCCCACUGGGAGGUGCAGGAGCUAAAGCCCAUUGCCAGGUGAAUUGGUCCAUUUUUAAGAGGAAGUCUCGGUGAGGAGCCCACAUUGUAGACAGAUCAUGGGAUUUGAAAUCAGCUUGAAUCUCUGAGAUGUUGGUUCUCCCAAGCCAUAAACUCCUUUAAGUGGAGCCUACUGAAAUCCCAGUGUUGUUUCAGGUUAUUAUUUCAAUCAGAAGGCAUUAGACUCCACAGAUAAGAGCAAUAUUCUGGAAUUUGAUCCUUUAUUGGGGAAGUGAUUAUUUGGCUGUGAAAUCUCAUAAAGCAGUAAUAACUGUGAAAUCACCAUGUACAUUUUAUCAUUGAGCUGUCCCCUCACUCCACAUCUACUGAGAAAUAAAACAGGACUCUACAUUUGUUGUUCA